UACGAAGGGGGCUAGCGUUGCUCGGAAUCACUGGGCGUAAAGCGCACGUAGGCGGAUUGUUAAGUCAGGGGUGAAAUCCUGGAGCUCAACUCCAGAACUGCCUUUGAUACUGGCGAUCUCGAGUCCGGGAGAGGUGAGUGGAACUGCGAGUGUAGAGGUGAAAUUCGUAGAUAUUCGCAAGAACACCAGUGGCGAAGGCGGCUCACUGGCCCGGAACUGACGCUGAGGUGCGAAAGCGUGGGGGAGCAAACAGG
rnacentral:rRNA from 1 species